GGGCCCGAGCCCAGGAGCAAAGUUGAAGGGGGGCGGGGGGCACGGGGGAAGCGACCGACGGCUGUCAGCGGUGGCGGGAGCCAGGACUAGGGCGGGAGCUGCUUAAGAAGGAGACAGGGAAGGCGGAGCUGGGGACGGAACCUGGGAGGGACAGCGGGAACCAUUCUACCCCGUUACCUGGCUGGCACCCAGCUUCAUCCCCCUAGGUCCACCCCAUCCCCACCCCCAGUAGCGCCCUUCUGGCCGGGGCGUCCCCAUCUCUCCAGGUCUCGGAUCUUUCCCAUUGGAUGGUCGAUUCCAGCUCCGGUUCCUCUGCCUGGACCCACCCCUUGACUCCAAACCCCGCCUCUCUCGGCAUGAUGUAAUUCGGGGGACCUCUUGCUCUGGGUAGACAGCUACCGAAGAUCUAUGAGAUUGGUGGAAAAGUCUUCAAAAAUGAGCGUCCUGAUCCCCAGGAAGACUUCCGGUGCUCAGAGAAAACGUCUCCUCAAAGAUUCAGAGCUGAAAGCAACUCUGAGGAUGAUUUUAUCCAACCCUUUAUUUUGCAUGGAUGAAACUGAGGCACGGAGCAGUUUGGUAACUGGCCCACCAUCAUAUAGGUUUUCCUUAUUUGGUUCCCGGCCAGGAAUCCGGCCUCGGUCCUCUGACUUCAAAUUCACUGGUUUCUGCUAUACAACGCUGAGGUGGUUGGGGUACAGCACCAAAUAAUAAGAUUUAUGUAGGCACCAAAUGUUGGGGUUCAGUCAUAUGAAGAAUUCACAAUGGCCUUUCUUUUUGGCAAAAGGUAGGCUUAUUUAUGAGAAGACAUUAAAGACAAGAGGAAGAGAUACAAUUGACGCCAAAAAUGGUUGAAGAAUUUACCAUCAGUGCAGCAGCUGCCUUUGAUUCCCUGUUCGUCCACAUUGAAGGCAUUUGAUAACAUGGCUGAAAACAUCGUCCUAAAAAGCAUGGGAGCAAGCACACAGACUCGUUUCACUCCAUUGGUGACUGGGAAAACUCAAGAGCAUUGCCUAUUGUCCAGAACCCGGCAAGCAUGCCAUCAAUGAAAUUGAUGUACUAUACUGAUGAACUUCUCUGGACGACUGAAUUUUGGCUUAAUUUUCCAUAAUUCUUUGUGACUGAAAGUAUCAAAGGCCUUGGUCAAAUUUACAAAUGUUGUAUACAAAUCUCUGUGCUGUUGGAAUUUUUCUUGGAGUUGUUGGACAGUAAACACCAUAGGGAUUUUCUUUGGUCCCUUCUGAAGCCACACUGAUUCUCAGAUAGAUGACCUUUUUCUGGGUGUAGGGUCAGCCUACUAAAAAGGAUUCUGGCAAUGAUCUUGCUAGCAAUGACUAAGAGACAGGACAGUUUAUAGGGGAAAUUUAACCUCAGGGAUUUGACAUGACUUGGAUUUCUGACAGAACAUAGCAAGGUGGGGUCACUCACGAUUUCCACAGAAGGGGGGACUAUAAAGUUGAACUGAUCUCCAUCAGUGGCUUUCCCCUGCUUGUCUCAGAUGGUAAUUUUAUCAAUAUUUCAAUCUUUCUCUGCCAUCCCCACCUUGUUACUCAGGAUCUCAUCACCACAUUCUUUUCCUCAGGAGACCUGAUUCCUUGAGCAUCUGACUGUUGAGAUUUUUAGAGUCCUAGUGCUUACUUCCAUUCUCUUCCCAAUCUGAUUACCUACCUUUACAGGAUUAUUAUACAUUACAUUUUUCACCCAGCUCUACAUUCCAGGCAAAAAUGACCCAUUUGCUAAUCUUCCUUCUAUCUUCUGUGUCUCUGUCUUUGUACAGGCGUGGGAAGCCUUUUCCCCUCAUGGAUUUUUAGGGAUUCUAGCUGCCUUUUAAAGCUUUGCUUAAGUGACAACUCUUGAGAACUUCUCUGAUCUCCUCAGUUGCAAAUUAUCUCCUCCUAAGAAAUAAUUUUGAACAUACUUGGUAAAUGCUCUCUCCUGGGAUCUUAUCCUUCUCUCCUUGGUUUUUCUCAUUUUUACUUGACUUGCUCCUUUCUGCCUUUACUGUUUAUCAUUCAUCACCCAUAUCAUGGCCCCAUAUUGUGGGUAUCCCCCAAAGUUCUGACCUGGGUCCCCUCUUAUUUUUCUCUUUACAUACUCUCACUUGGUGACCAUAUCAAUCUUCUUAGAUUUUAUUAUCAUCUUUAUGCUAGUGAACCCCACAUCUAUACAUUCAGCCUUUGUCUCUCUCCUCAGUUCUAGACCCACAUCAUUAACUGUCUCUUGAGUAUUUCAAACUGGAUAUCCUAAGGGCACCUCAAAUUUAACAUGUCUAAGAGAGAGCUCAUUAUCUUUUUUUUCAACCAAUUUGCAUUUAUUGAGAACAUGAUAUAUGCCAGGCUAAGUGUUGAAGAUCCAAAGAUUAAAACAUUAAAUAUUUACUGUCCUCAAGGAGCUUACCAUUUAGUGGGGAAACAAUACGCAAACAUAUUAACUACAUAGGAAAUUCAUUGGAAAAACCAGGAAGAUCAUUGGAACUGGGGAGAUUAGAAAGUAUCUUUUGUAGGAAGUAACAUAA